rnacentral:rRNA from 1 species
GAUGAACGCUGGCGCCGUGCCUAAUACAUGCAAGUCGAGCGAACAGACGAGGAGCUUGCUCCUCUGACGUUAGCGGCGGAUGGGUGAGUAACACGUGGAUAACCUACCUAUAAGACUGGGAUAACUUCGGGAAACCGGAGCUAAUACCGGAUAAUAUAUUGAACCGCAUGGUUCAAUAGUGAAAGACGGUUUUGCUGUCACUUAUAGAUGGAUCCGCGCCGCAUUAGCUAGUUGGUAAGGUUACGGCUUACCAAGGCAACGAUGCGUAGCCGACCUGAGAGGGUGAUCGGCCACACUGGAACUGAGACACGGUCCAGACUCCUACGGGAGGCAGCAGUAGGGAAUCUUCCGCAAUGGGCGAAAGCCUGACGGAGCAACGCCGCGUGAGUGAUGAAGGUCUUCGGAUCGUAAAACUCUGUUAUUAGGGAAGAACAAAUGUGUAAGUAACUAUGCACGUCUUGACGGUACCUAAUCAGAAAGCCACGGCGAACUACGU